UUCUAAUGAAUUGCUAAGAUUAAGGCGUUAACUUUCCCAGCCCUAAUAUAUAGUAUUAUGCCUGAACCAACAUCUCAUCAUCAUUAUUUGAUUGUUCUAGUAACCCCAUCUUCCUCUGACAGAGAGCAGUCUUGUCUCUGACUGUGACUCUUGUGUGAUCCUGGCUGUUCUGAGUCGCCUUAACUUGGGUUCCAAUGCCACAGAGAUACAGACAUCAUCUUACCUAAGCUCUGUUUGCCAGCUGCACCCCAACAUCCUUCCUAAGUGUGACAGCUUUACCAAGAACCAUGGGGAACAACUGAAGGGGUUUCUGGGUAAAAAAGGUCCUCCCCUUGAUGUGUGUGGGAAAGUGGGCCUGUGUGGAGGAAUGGGCGGGCCAGCAGGGCAAAAAGGAAACCCCUGCACUUUGGGUAGCAGCUACACGUGCAGAGAUCUGAAGACUGCUCUGGAAUGUGGGACAGUGCCCUUUUGCCCGGAACAUAUUUGGGAAUUAAGAUUUUGCUCAAUACCCCUCUCUCAAAUGGAAUGAGAGCCUGAGGAAUUUGCUACCACUGAUGACCCUCAUUUCAACAUCCAAUUGCAAAUAUUACCCAGUUGAAAUUUCUCAAACGUUGGUUGUCUGUCAGAUAGUAUGGUCUGCACACAUGGGAGUUUGCUGAUUGCAUUGUCACUGUUUUUGUUUGCCUCUGUGCCUUUUUUGAAACCUUCAGAAUAGGGCUAUGAUUGCUUUUCAUCAGAUUACUUUCUAGUACAUUCUAGACAUAUACUGUACUUUGAAAGUGUUGGUUUAGCAUAAACAUAUUCAUUUAUGCAUUUAGAUAUAGAACAAUUUGAUCACCAGCUCUUUCAAUAAACAAAUUAUGCACCAC